rnacentral:tRNA from 1 species
GGAGAGUAGGUAAAUAUUGGUUUGUUACGCUCACCUGCUAAGUGAGUUCACAUUUUGGUGAUGAAGGUUCGAUUCCUUUACUCUCCG